AACGAACGCUGGCGGCAUGCCUAACACAUGCAAGUCGAACGAGAUCUUCGGGUCUAGUGGCGCACGGGAGCGUAACGCGUGGGAAUCUGCCCUUUGGUUCGGAAUAACAGUUGGAAACGACUGCUAAUACCGGAUGAUGACGAAAGUCCAAAGAUUUAUCGCUAGAGGAUGAGCCCGCGUAGGAUUAGCUAGUUGGUGUGGUAAAGGCGCACCAAGGCGACGAUCCUUAGCUGGUCUGAGAGGAUGAUCAGCCACACUGGGACUGUGACACGGCCCAGACUCCUACGGGGGGCAGCAGUGGGGAAUAUUGGACAAUGGGCGAAAGCCUGAUCCAGCAAUGCCGCGUGAGUGAUGAAGGCCUUAGGGUUGUAAAGCUCUUUUACCCGGGAUGAUAAUGACAGUACCGGGAGAAUAAGCUCCGGCUAACUCCGUGUCAGCAGCCGCAGUAA
rnacentral:rRNA from 1 species